rnacentral:rRNA from 1 species
AGCAGCCGCGGUAAUUCCAGCUCCAAUAGCGUAUAUUAAAGUUGUUGCAGUUAAAAAGCUCGUAGUUGAAUUUCGGGGUCAGCAAGUUGGUCGUGCCACCGGUAUGCACUGGCUUUGCUGAUUCCUCCUUCUUGUAGAACCGUAAUGCCAUUAAGUUGGUGUUGCGGGGAAACAGGACUGUUACUUUGAAAAAAUUAGAGUGUUUAAAGCAGGCUAACGCUUGAAUACAUUAGCAUGGAAUAAUGAAAUAGGACGACGAUCCUAUUUUGUUGGUUUCUAGGAUUGACGUAAUGAUUAAUAGGGAUAGUUGGGGGCAUUAGUAUUCAAUUGUCAGAGGUGAAAUUCUCGGAUUUAUUGAAGACUGACUACUGCGAAAGCAUUUGCCAAGGAUGUUUUCAUUAAUCAAGAACGAAAGUUAGGGGAUCGAAGACGAUCAGAUACCGUCGUAGUCUUAACCAUAAACUAUGCCGACUAGGGAUCGGAUGAUGUUAAUUUUUUAAUGACUCA